rnacentral:rRNA from 1 species
UACGUAGGUCCCGAGCGUUGUCCGGAUUUAUUGGGCGUAAAGCGAGCGCAGGUGGUUUAUUAAGUCUGGUGUAAAAGGCAGUGGCUCAACCAUUGUAUGCAUUGGAAACUGGUAGACUUGAGUGCAGGAGAGGAGAAUGGAAUUCCUAGUGUAGCGGUGAAAUGCGUAGAGAUUAGGAAGAACACCAGUGGCGAAGGCGGUUCUCUGGACUGUAACUGACGCUGAGGCUCGAAAGCGUGGGGAGCAAACAGG